rnacentral:rRNA from 1 species
ACUCCUACGGGAGGCAGCAGUGGGGAAUAUUGGACAAUGGGCGAAAGCCUGAUCCAGCAAUGCCGCGUGCGGGAAGAAGGCCUUCGGGUUGUAAACCGCUUCAGUUGUGAGGAAAGAUACAGAUUAAUACUCUGUGUUCUUGACGUUAACUUCAGAAGAAGCACCGGCUAACUCCGUGCCAGCAGCCGCGGUAAUACGGAGGGUGCGAGCGUUAAUCGGAAUUACUGGGCGUAAAGCGCGCGUAGGCGGUUUAGUAAGUUGGAUGUGAAAGCCCCGGGCUCAACCUGGGAACUGCAUUCAAAACUGCUAGACUAGAGUUUAGUAGAGGAAGGUAGAAUUCCACGUGUAGCGGUGAAAUGCGUAGAGAUGUGGAAGAAUACCGGUGGCGAAGGCGACCUUCUGGACUAAACUGACGCUGAGGUGCGAAAGCGUGGGUAGCAAACAGGAUUAGAUACCCGUGGUAGCGACUGA